GCCCGCAUAGCUCAGGGGUAGAGCGUAUCACUAGUACUCGUACUCGUACUCGAUCUAGAAUCAAAUGAUAAGGUCAUCAGUUCAAUUCUGAUUGUGGGCA